CCUACGGGAGGCUGCAGUGAGGAAUAUUGGUCAAUGGGCGAGAGCCUGAACCAGCCAAGUCGCGUGAGGGAGUACUGCCCUAUGGGUUGUAAACCUCUUUUGUCGGGGAGCAAAAGCCGGACGUGUCCGGCUGUGAGAGUACCCGAAGAAAAAGCAUCGGCUAACUCCGUGCCAGCAGCCGCGGUAAUACGGAGGAUGCGAGCGUUAUCCGGAUUUAUGGGGUUAAAAGGGUGCGCAGGCGGAUUUGUAAGUCAGCGGUCAAAUCGUGGGGCUCAACCCCAUCCAGCCGUUGAAACUGGGGAUCUAGAGUGUGCGAGAGGUAUGCGGAAUGCGUGGUGUAGCGGUGAAAUGCAUAGAUAUCACGCAGAACCCCGAUUGCGAAGGCAGCAUACCGGUGCACAACUGACGCUCAGGCACGAAAGCGUGGGUAUCGAACAGGAUUAGAUACCCUUGUAGUC
rnacentral:rRNA from 1 species